AAGCGUCCGUAGCUGGCUAGGUAAAUCUUUUGUGAAAUCAUGGGGCCUAACUCCAUGGCGUGCAGAGGAGACUGCCUGGCUUGAGACCGGGAGGAGCUGGGGGUAUUCUGAGGGGAGCGGUAAAAUGCUAUAAUCCUCAGAGGACCACCUGUGGCGAAGGCGCCCAGCUAGAACGGAUCUGACAGUGAGGGACGAAAGCUAGGGGAGCGAUCCGGAUUAGAUACCCGAGUAGUCCUAGCCGUAAACGUUGCGAGCCAGGCGUUGCAUGUUCUACGAGAAUAUGCAGUGUCGAAACGAAGGUGUUAAGCUCGCCGCCUGGGAAGUAUGGUCGCAAGACUGAAACUUAAAGGAAUUGGCGGGGGAGCACUACAAGGGGUGCGGCGUGCGGUUUAAUCUAAUUCCACGCAGAGAACCUCACCAGGGGCGACGGCAGAAUGAAAGUCAGUCUAAAGGGCUUACUUGACGAGCCGAGAGGUAGUGCAUGGCCGCCGUCAGCUCGUGCCGUAAGGUGUCCUGUUAAGUCAGGCAACGAGCGAGACCUGUACCCAUACUUGUUAACGGCCAGUACGCUGGGACCGAAACCUUUAUGGGGACUGCCCUGGAAACAGGGAGGAAGGUGCAGGCAACGGUAGGUCUGUAUGCUCCGAAUCUCCUGGGCUACACGCGCGCAACAAUGGUAGGGACAAUGGGCUGCAACUCCGAAAGGAGAAGCUAAUCCUCUAAACCCUAUCCUAGUCUAGAUCGAGGGUUGCAACUCACCCUCGUGACAACGGAAUCCC
rnacentral:rRNA from 1 species